AUUGAACGCUGGCGGCAGGCCUAACACAUGCAAGUCGAGCGGAUGAGAAGAGCUUGCUCUUCGAUUCAGCGGCGGACGGGUGAGUAAUGCCUAGGAAUCUGCCUGGUAGUGGGGGACAACGUUUCGAAAGGAACGCUAAUACCGCAUACGUCCUACGGGAGAAAGCAGGGGACCUUCGGGCCUUGCGCUAUCAGAUGAGCCUAGGUCGGAUUAGCUAGUUGGUGAGGUAAUGGCUCACCAAGGCGACGAUCCGUAACUGGUAUGAGAGGAUGAUCAGUCACACUGGAACUGAGACACGGUCCAGACUCCUACGGGAGGCAGCAGUGGGGAAUAUUGGACAAUGGGCGAAAGCCUGAUCCAGCCAUGCCGCGUGUGUGAAGAAGGUCUUCGGAUUGUAAAGCACUUUAAGUUGGGAGGAAGGGCAGUAAGUUAAUACCUUGCUGUUCUGACGUUACCGACAGAAUAAGCACCGGCUAACUCUGUGCCAGCCGCCGCUGUAACAC
rnacentral:rRNA from 1 species